UCCGCGUUCAAAGAGUCGCAUUCAAAGCUUACGCACAGCAGAGACGGACUAUCGCAGUCCUUGUCUCCUGCAUACCCUUCGUUUCCGUCCUCAUGGACGAAACUAGCUUUGGGAGAAAGUCCCCGGACCGCCCUACCCUUCGAGAUUCUCAUUUCGAGGAACGUUAGGACUUGCCGAAAGGCGCCGCCAUCAAAGCAUUUUCACUGCGGCUUCUAUUCUCUGCCUCCCACUCUCCUCUGAAGACCCUGUCUUCCCGAUCUCCGACCUCGUUGUCGUUUGUACUCUGUGCAGGUUCUUGAUCUGUUGUCCCUGUUCGACGCUGACAGACAUCUGGACGGACGACGAUAUGAGUCCGUCCUUUGGGUUUCGGCUAGAUGCUCUGAUGCCGAGGCUGGGACUUGAUCGUGGUCAUCUGCCGGAAGAGACGGUGAGGGUUCACUGGGAGUCGGGUCCAGGACACUGUCUACGAGGGAACAAGAGUCGCACCUGGAGGUUGCGCAAUUCGUCACAUGCACAUAGUUAUGCGAUUGCUCAGCACAUGCCCUCUUCUUGCUUCGGUGACAAAGAAGAGCGCUGCGGAGUAACUCGACGGGGCUUAUUCUUGAGGCGCGG
rnacentral:RNase_MRP_RNA from 2 species